UACGGAGGGUGCAAACGUUGCUCGGAAUCAUUGGGCGUAAAGCGCACGUAGGUGGUCUGUUUAGUCAGGUGUGAAAGCCCUGGGCUCAACCCAGGAAGUGCACUUGAUACUGGCAGGCUUGAGUAUGGAAGAGGGUCGCGGAAUUCCCGGUGUAGAGGUGAAAUUCGUAGAUAUCGGGGAGGAACACCGGUGGCGAAGGCGGCAUCCUGGACCGACACGUGACACUGAGGAGCGAAAGCCAGGGGAGCAAACGGGG
rnacentral:rRNA from 1 species